ACCCAUACCAGGUUCCCUGCUGGGCCCUAGGAAAACACUAUCUCAUACAUUAAGGAGCUCCCAGCUGAAAUGGGGGCAGCGUGCCAUGAGUAAAGGGUACCAGAAAGCCCCAGAGUGGGAAACCUCAGUUGUAUCUCAAAUAUUCACAUCCGCUUGUUACCUUUAUAAGGAAUGUUUUCAAACUUCUCUAAAUGCUUUCAAGAACCAGAUUAGAUAUGAAUAAAUAGAUUAAAAUAGUGAAUUGAAUUAUUUGAAAAGGUCUGAGUCUACCAUCAUGAGGUCUAGGGUGUGGCUGAAGGACUUCCUCCCAAUCCACAUUCUUCAAAAUGGAUCAGAACAAGAAUUCACUUUAGAAAGGAGUAAAAAGCCUCCAGCAUGGUGGUAUGAGGCAGGACAGAGCAGAAGCGGGUUGCAGGAGGGGGUUGCAUCUUUGGAGACUAGAGGCUUGAAGGGAGAUAUAUAGGACAACGUCUAUACAGUUAACCAGGUAGGGAGCAAACAGUAACCAGAGACAAACAUUUCCAUAAUUUUCAGAAAAUUUGAGUUAUGUCUACUUUGGCAAGGAAAGGAGGUUUGGGACAUAACGAAGGCCAUCCAGGAUUAUUCCCUGUAUUCUGUAAGGGAAGGGGAAGGACAGGCCCCAUCCUCAGGUAAUUCUUAACUGAACAUAGAGUUUAGAUGCACGGUAGGGACCUCAGAGGACUGAGAGGCUACUAUGCCACAAAGGAUGCCAGGCUGGGCCUCCUGUGUUGGUGGGUGACGCAAGAGGAGUCCAGAAAUCUCAUGUAAGUAUCUUUUGCAGACUGGUGCGGAGGGAGUAGAGCUGGACCACCCUCUGGGAGACCCCUGCUGUGUUAGGACCACCUUCCUUAGGUAAGAAGGAACAGUGACAACGAUGCCGUCUUCCUUCAAUCCCAGUUGGCUCUUUCAACACUGUUUCACCCUUCCCAGUAAUACUGCAGUGAAGAUUCCUGAACCUAAAUUUUUGCACAUAUCCAUGAUCAUCUUCUAAUAAAUAGCAAAGAAGUGGAAUUGUUGAGUUAAAAGAAGAAAGGCCUUAUGAAGACACAGUAAGAAGGCAGCCACCUAUAAGCCAAGGAUAGAGUUCUCACCAGAAACCUACUCUUCUGGCAUCUCGAUCUCAGACUUUUCAGUCUGUAGAAUGGUGAGAGAAGAAAUUUCUAUUUUUUAAGCCACACAGUCUGUGGUAUUUUGUUAUGGCAGUUCAAGUAGACUAAUACAGCAGGGAUGUGGCCGGGUUGCAUUGCAGUUAAGGGUGGAAUGUGUAAGGUUGGAUGUGGUUUUAAACCCUGGUUCUACCAGUUAGUAGCUGUCCGACUCUGGACAUGUUAAAUAAUUUCUUUGAGUGUCUAGUUGAAAAAGAUAAAUGAGUAUGUGUGUGUGUGUAUACGUGUGUGUAUUCUUAUUUACUCUUUCCAACCAGACAGAAUUACAGAAUUAUAUAUCAUCUAUAUAAUAGCUAAUGUAUAUAUAUAGUUAAUAUAUGCACAGUGUUCAAAAAUGAUAAUCACUGCCAUGCUGCUACUAUUACCAGUAAUAAUAAUUGAGAUAGCUCGGGCAGAUACUCAUCAAAUGUUAGUUACCACUUAUAAGUUAUAUACCUUGGCUGUUCAAUGGAAGUAAUAAUACCUUCUCCCCAAGGUUCCUGUGAGGAUUAUAGGAGAUGAAACAGCUCAGUACCAGGAACACAGAUGGAACUUUUCUUCCCUUAGGAAUGUUUUAGAAAUUGA